rnacentral:rRNA from 1 species
CGGCGGACGGGUGAGUAACGCGUAGGAAUCUGCCCGGUAGUGGGGGACAACAGUCGGAAACGACUGCUAAUACCGCAUACGCCCUAAGGGGGAAAGCAGGGGAUCUUCGGACCUUGCGCUAUCGGAUGAGCCUGCGUCGGAUUAGCUUGUUGGUGGGGUAAUGGCCUACCAAGGCGACGAUCCGUAGCUGGUCUGAGAGGAUGAUCAGCCACACUGGGACUGAGACACGGCCCAG